GAGUUUGAACCUGGCUCAGGAUGAACGCUGGCGGCGUGCUUAACACAUGCAAGUCGAACGAAGCGAUUGGAAGGAAGUUUUCGGAUGGAAUUCUGAUUGACUGAGUGGCGGACGGGUGAGUAACGCGUGGGUAACCUGCCUCAUACAGGGGGAUAACAGUUAGAAAUGACUGCUAAUACCGCAUAAGCGCACAGGAUUGCAUGAUCCAGUGUGAAAAACUCCGGUGGUAUGAGAUGGACCCGCGUCUGAUUAGCUAGUUGGUGGGGUAACGGCCCACCAAGGCGACGAUCAGUAGCCGACCUGAGAGGGUGACCGGCCACAUUGGGACUGAGACACGGCCCAAACUCCUACGGGAGGCAGCAGUGGGGAAUAUUGCACAAUGGGGGAAACCCUGAUGCAGCAACGCCGCGUGAGUGAAGAAGUAUUUCGGUAUGUAAAGCUCUAUCAGCAGGGAAGAAAA
rnacentral:rRNA from 1 species